rnacentral:rRNA from 1 species
AUUGAACGCUGGCGGAAUGCUUUACACAUGCAAGUCGAGCGGCAGCGCGGGGGCAACCCUGGCGGCGAGCGGCGAACGGGUGAGUAACAUAUCGGAACGUACCCAGUCGUGGGGGAUAACUAUCCGAAAGGAUAGCCAAUACCGCAUACGUCCUGAGGGAGAAAGCGGGGGAUCGCAAGACCUCGCGCGAUUGGAGCGGCCGAUAUCGGAUUAGCUAGUUGGUGGGGUAAAGGCUCACCAAGGCGACGAUCCGUAGCGGGUCUGAGAGGACGACCCGCCACACUGGAACUGAGACACGGUCCAGACUCCUACGGGAGGCAGCAGUGGGGAAUUUUGGACAAUGGGGGCAACCCUGAUCCAGCCAUUCCGCGUGAGUGAAGAAGGCCU